rnacentral:ncRNA from 1 species
UGAUAGAGGCGCGAAGGUCAAGAGUCGUCCAUCCCUCAAAGACAGGCAGCGGGGCGGACAAAAGGGGCAUUCGCCGAGGUUUCGGGGCUUUCUGCCUGGAGAGCACGGAGCCGGGCCGGAGGAGAAUAUCCUUCGGACUGUCGCCCUGAACAGGGCGGAGCGCUGUCGU